GACAGAGGGUGCAAACGUUGUUCGGAAUUACUGGGCGUAAAGCGCGUGUAGGCGGUUAUGCAAGUCGGGUGUGAAAGCCCAGGGCUCAACCCUGGAAGUGCAUUCGAUACUGCGUAGCUAGAGUACUGGAGAGGAUGGUGGAACUCUCGGUGUAGAGGUGAAAUUCGUAGAUAUCGAGAAGAACACCGGUGGCGAAGGCGGCCAUCUGGGACAACACUGACGCUGAAGCACGAAAGCGUGGGGAGCAAACAGG
rnacentral:rRNA from 1 species